GAACUCGUGGCAUCCCGGGAGCCGCCACAGCUGGACGCUGAUGGAGACCUGAAUGGGAGCUGAUGCCAAGUCCUGCUCCUUCUCGCCAGCCUGGAGCUGAACCAGCACCUGGUGGAGCUGAGGAAGGGGGGACAGCGUGUGGAGAUGCUUGUAUCUGGGACCCCCUGCCAUUUCUCAGGACACCCUCCUGCUCCUAGCUGGGAGAUCCAGCAUCCUCAUGAAUGCGGGGCCCAAGGCCACCAACUGUUCCACCUGCUGUCAGCCAGGCCUGUUGCCCCAGCCCUACACCCACAGCUCACCCAGCAGGGACUGGAGUGUGCUGCUGCACUGCUGGAGCCGGUCGCCCGGGUCGGAGGUUGGGAAGAAGACAGCCGCUGGCAGGCCACUGGUUGGGGGGUCCAGCCGGAAGCCCACAGCGGUGAGGAGGGCCUGCCAGCCAGGGAUGCCGCCCACUUUGUUCUCCACACUCUGCUGGGAUGUGUACAUGGCAUUGCGCUGCCCAUUCUGGAUGCGCUGCAGGGAUUUCUCCACCUGAGGGG
rnacentral:lncRNA from 1 species